rnacentral:rRNA from 1 species
UACGAAGGGGGCUAGCGUUGUUCGGAUUUACUGGGCGUAAAGAGCGCGCAGGCGGUCGGAUAAGUCGAAUGUGAAAGCCCCCGGCUCAACUGGGGAGGGUCACGCGAUACUGAUCGACUCGAAGGCAGGAGAGGGUAGUGGAAUUCCCGGUGUAGUGGUGAAAUGCGUAGAUAUCGGGAGGAACACCAGUGGCGAAGGCGACUACCUGGCCUGUUCUUGACGCUGAGGCGCGAAAGCUAGGGGAGCAA